rnacentral:rRNA from 1 species
GAUGAACGCUGGCGGCGUGCCUAAUACAUGCAAGUCGAGCGAACAGACGAGGAGCUUGCUCCUCUGACGUUAGCGGCGGACGGGUGAGUAACACGUGGAUAACCUACCUAUAAGACUGGGAUAACUUCGGGAAACCGGAGCUAAUACCGGAUAAUAUAUUGAACCGCAUGGUUCAAUAGUGAAAGACGGUUUUGCUGUCACUUAUAGAUGGAUCCGCGCCGCAUUAGCUAGUUGGUAAGGUAACGGCUUACCAAGGCAACGAUGCGUAGCCGACCGGAGAGGGUGAUCGGCCACCUGGGAACUGAGACACGGUCCAGACUCCUACGGGAGGCAGCAGUAGGGAAUCUGCCGCAAUGGGCGAAAGCCUGACGGAGCAACGCCGCGUGAGUGAUGAAGGUCUUCGGAUCGUAAAACUCUGUUAUUAGGGAAGAACAAAUGUGUAAGUAACUAUGCACGUCUUGACGGUACCUAAUCAGAAAGCCACGGCUAACUACGUG